AGUGAACGCUGGCGGUAGGCCUAACACAUGCAAGUCGAACGGCAGCACAGGAGAGCUUGCUCUCUGGGUGGCGAGUGGCGGACGGGUGAGGAAUACAUCGGAAUCUGCCCAGUCGUGGGGGAUAACGUAGGGAAACUUACGCUAAUACCGCAUACGACCUUCGGGUGAAAGAGGGGGAUCGCAAGACCUCUCGCGAUUGGAUGAGCCGAUGUCGGAUUAGCUAGUUGGCGGGGUAAUGGCCCACCUAGGCGACGAUCCGUAGCUGGUCUGAGAGGAUGAUCAGCCACACUGGAACUGAGACACGGUCCAGACUCCUACGGGAGGCAGCAGUGGGGAAUAUUGGACAAUGGGCGCAAGCCUGAUCCAGCCAUACCGCGUGGGUGAAGAAGGCCUUCGGGUUGUAAAGCCCUUUUGUUGGGAAAGAAAUCUUUCAGGCUAAUACCCUGGGAGGAUGACGGUACCCAAAGAAUAAGCACCGGCUAACUUCGUG
rnacentral:rRNA from 1 species